rnacentral:rRNA from 1 species
UGGGGAAUUGUUCGCAAUGGGCGCAAGCCUGACGACGCAACGCCGCGUGGAGGAUGAAGAUCUUCGGGUCGUAAACUCCUUUCGAUCGAGACGAAUUCCUUCCGGGUGAACGACUCGGGAGGUUGACGGUACCGAGAGAAGAAGCCCCGGCUAACUCCGUGCCAGCCGCCGCGGUAAUACGGGGGGGGCAAGCGUUGUUCGGAAUUACUGGGCGUAAAGGGCUCGUAGGCGGCCAACUAAGUCGGACGUGAAAUCCCUCGGCUUAACCGGGGAACUGCGUCCGAUACUGGAUGGCUUGAGUUCGGGAGAGGGAUGCGGAAUUCCAGGUGUAGCGGUGAAAUGCGUAGAUAUCUGGAGGAACACCGGUGGCGAAGGCGGCAUCCUGGACCGACACUGACGCUGAGGAGCGAAAGCCAGGGGAGCAAA